CUAAGAGUCACCCAAACGUUUCAGCCCCAGGCCUGCUGGCCCUGGCUGGUGGGCCUUCCCGCCUCACAGCUGCCCUCCCCCGAAGACACCGCAAAGGUGUGAAAAAGUCCAGCAUGAACUCAGACAGGACACAGACCAGGACCAGAGCCUCAUGUAGACAGAGCUGCUGCAGAAGGAGCAAUGAGCAUGCCUGCACCCUUGAGAGACCUGAGGAGGAUGAAGGAAAAUACGGACAACUUGAAUCCAUGACAGUCUUCAGUCUAGGAUCAAGGCCUCCUCACAAAAGCCAUCUCCUUGUAGCUGAGAACUCAACAGACUGUCUGGAAUCAGUUGCGGCAUCACAGUCCUGUAACACCAGAACUCCCAGGCAGAGAUGGAUGUCUGCAAGUGCCAGGUGGCUUGGUCUACACAGUAAGUUCCUAGCUGGGGUUCAUAAUGCUACACAGAGGGGUGAUGUCUUGCGUGUAGAUGGUCUCUGUGGAUACUCCCUUGUGAGAGCAAAACUAUCUCUACUAUAUCUCUGAGGUCAUAUUAGCUAAAUAUACUAAAUGUUACUAAAAUACAAUACUCUAUAUACUCAGGUUCAUAAAAUGAUCAAAAAGACCAAAUUAAUAGAAGACAUAACUGUACUCCUCUAAUACCUUAAGAGAUGAAAAAUUUAAGUGUGUAUAGAAGAAAUCAGAAAACCCUGAGCUAUCUGCCUCUGGUUUUCAUGAAAUAUAGCAUUAGUGAUAGAUGCAUUGCAGAGACAAUGACUUCCUCGACAUGUAGGGAUAUAGUUUUGUUUUUCUGCUUUUGUUUGUUUGUGUUUGAGAUUUAUUUCAUUCAUUUAUGUGUAUGGGUGUUUUGCAUG
ensembl:lincRNA 4933413J09Rik RIKEN cDNA 4933413J09 gene